rnacentral:tRNA from 1 species
GCUGGGGUGGUGGAAUUGGUAUACACGCUGGUUUUAGGAACCAGUGCUUCACAGCUUGCGGGUUCGAGUCCCGCCCCCAGUACCA